CCUACGGGCGGCAGCAGUGGGGAAUAUUGCGCAAUGGGCGAAAGCCUGACGCAGCGACGCCGCGUGAGGGAUGAAGGUCUUCGGAUCGUAAACCUCUGUCAGCAGGGAAGAACGGUCACUGUGCUAAUCAGCAGUGAAUUGACGGUACCUGCAAAGGAAGCACCGGCUAACUCCGUGCCAGCCGCCGCGGUAAUACGGAGGGUGCGAGCGUUAAUCGGAAUUACUGGGCGUAAAGCGCUCGUAGGCGGUAUGUCAAGUCAAGGGUGAAAUCCCCGCGCUCAACGUGGGAACUGCGUUUGAAACUGGCAAACUGGAGUGUGUGAGAGGAGAGUGGAAUUCCAGGUGUAGGAGUGAAAUCCGUAGAUAUCUGGAGGAACAUCAGUGGCGAAGGCGACUAUCUGGCACAUAACUGACGCUGAGGAGCGAAAGCGUGGGUAGCAAACAGGAUUAGAUACCCCAGUAGUC
rnacentral:rRNA from 1 species